CAGAACUACCCACAGACCAAUCUGGUGGCACAAUUACUCAACUGAAAUCCAUUCUUCCCAGGUGUGAAUCUCUGUAUUAGUCCUUGCCCACUUCGAAGAGAAGCUUUUCUGACUGAAGCUGACAGCAGCACUAGCCCACAAAUAUAAAUGGAAGUAUGUAGAAGGCAAGGUUGGCUGCGUUUCUACUUGGUAAAGCAUCAAUAACAAGGAGUGGGUGUUUCCAACUCUUAAAAGGUACAUCUGCAUAUCAUGAGACAGCAUCAAGACAGUUGUGAGCUGCCAUGCGGGUGCUGGAAGUUGAAUUCAGGACCUUCAGGAGAGCAGCGAAUGCUCUUAACCACUGAACCAUCUCUUCAGCCUUCAUUUUCUGAUUUAUGACCACUUUUCAGGCUCUGUGAA